AUUGAACGCUGGCGGCAUGCUUUACACAUGCAAGUCGAACGGCAGCGCGGGCUUCGGCCUGGCGGCGAGUGGCGAACGGGUGAGUAAUGCAUCGGAACGUGCCCAGUAGUGGGGGAUAGCCCGGCGAAAGCCGGAUUAAUACCGCAUACGACCUGAGGGUGAAAGCGGGGGACCGAAAGGCCUCGCGCUAUUGGAGCGUCCGAUGUCGGAUUAGCUAGUUGGUGGGGUAAAGGCUUACCAAGGCGACGAUCCGUAGCUGGUCUGAGAGGACGACCAGCCACACUGGGACUGAGAAACGGCCCAGACUCCUACGGGAGGAAGAAGUGGGGAAUUUUGGACAAUGGGGGCAACCCUGAUCCAGCCAUGCCGCGUGCGGGAAGAAGGCCUUCGGGUUGUAAACCGCUUUUGUUCGGGAAGAAAUCCUCUGGGCUAAUACCCCGGGGGGAUGGCGGUACCGGAAGAAUAAGCACCGGCUAACUACGUG
rnacentral:rRNA from 1 species